CGGGGGGGUUAUGCUGACGCUAGCGGGAGGCCUAACACAUGCAAGCCGAGCGGUAGAGUAUCUUCGGAUACUUGAGAGCGGCGUACGGGUGCGGAACACGUGUGCAACCUGCCUUUAUCUGAGGGAUAGCCUUUCGAAAGGAAGAUUAAUACCUCAUAAUAUACUGAUUGGCAUCAAUUGGUAUUGAAAGCUCCGGCGGAUAGAGAUGGGCACGCGCAAGAUUAGAUAGUUGGUGAGGUAACGGCUCACCAAGUCAAUGAUCUUUAGGGGGCCUGAGAGGGUGAUCCCCCACACUGGUACUGAGACACGGACCAGACUCCUACGGGAGGCAGCAGUGAGGAAUAUUGGACAAUGGGUGCAAGCCUGAUCCAGCCAUCCUGCGUGAAGGACGACGGCCCUAUGGGUUGUAAACUUCUUUUGUACAGGGAUAAACCUACCCUCGUGAGGGUAGCUGAAGGUACUGUACGAAUAAGCACCGGCUAACUCCGUGCCAGCCGCCGCGGUAAUUA
rnacentral:rRNA from 1 species